rnacentral:rRNA from 1 species
GACGAACGCUGGCGGCGUGCUUAACACAUGCAAGUCGAACGAAGUGGCGAACGGGUGAGUAACGCGUAAUCAACCUGCCCUUCAGAGGGGGACAACAGUUGGAAACGACUGCUAAUACCGCAUACUGAAGGAGGGGAUUGCGUCUGAGUAGCUAGUUGGAGGGGUAACGGCCCACCAAGGCGAUGAUCAGUAGCCGGUCUGGGGAGAGGAACGGCAACAUUGGGACUGAGACACGGCCCAGACUCCUACGGGAGGCAGCAGUGGGGAGUCUUGCGCAAUGGGCGAAAGUCUGACGGAGCAACGCCGCGUGAGUGAUGACGGCCUUCGGGUUGUAAAGCUCUGUUAAUCGGGACGCGGUACCGGAAUAGAAAGCCACGGCUAACUACGUGCCAGCAGCCGCGGUAAUAC